rnacentral:rRNA from 1 species
AGAGUUUGAUCAUGGCUCAGAAUGAACGUUGGCGGCGUGGAUUAGGCAUGCAAGUCGUACGCAUAGCUUCGGCUAUGAGUGGCGCAAGGGUGAGUAAUGCGAAGGUAACCAACCCUGGUGUUGGGCAUAGCCGCGGGAAACUGCGGGUAAUUCCCAGCGACGUCACGAGAUGGCAUCAUCUUGUGACCAAAGGUGUGAUUCCGCUCUAGGACGGGCCUUCGUGGUAUUAGGUAGUUGGUGAGGUAACGGCUCACCAAGCCGACGAUGCCUACCGGGUGUGAGAGCAUGACCCGGCACACUGGAACUGAGACACUGUCCAGACACCUACGGGUGGCUGCAGUCGAGAAUCUUCGGCAAUGGGCGAAAGCCUGACCGAGCGACGCCGCGUGAGGGAUUGAAGGCCUUCGGGUUGUAAACCUCUUUCGUAGAGGAGGAAGGGGCCGUGAAGAACGGUCUUUGACCUAUUCUAGGAAGAAGCUUGGGCUAAGUUCGUG